rnacentral:misc_RNA from 1 species
AACAUCUGGUCCAGUAACUCUGGUGGUGAAAGGAUCAAUCCUCACCCAUAGCAAAGAGAAAAUGGAAGCAAGGAGAAUGGACCAGACCACAACAAUGGUCGGUGUUCGAUUCUGGCGACCCAUAAGACCUUUGAGGAAUGGAUAAAGAUGGAUGAUCACCCAGAAGGCAAAGAAAAGCUUGCCAAAGAGAGGACCCCAUGACUGAUAACCACUGUUAAUGGCGUAGGAUAUACCGGCAACGACACCCACUAAGUUAAUGAUGAGGAGAGUUGUUGGUGGGAUUAGAAGAGUUGUCCAUUU